AGUUCAUUACAGCUUAAUGGCUGAAAAGGGUAUCAAUAGACCUUUCAAUCAGCGGGGGAACCAUAAGAAUAGACACUAUGCUAGUGAGCUAUUCAGGGGUGAAUCAGAGCAGUUGGUGAAGACCGAUAACUCUGUAGGGAGACUCUUACUUCCGAAUCCGUCAGCUAACCUCGUAAGCUGCAAUAAGAGAGACG
rnacentral:sRNA from 2 species